rnacentral:rRNA from 1 species
AGCGUACACGGUGGAUGCCCUGGCAGUCAGAGGCGAUGAAGGACGUGCUAAUCUGCGAUAAGCGUCGGUAAGGUGAUAUGAACCGUUAUAACCGGCGAUUUCCGAAUGGGGAAACCCAGUGUGUUUCGACACACUAUCAUUAACUGAAUCCAUAGGUUAAUGAGGCGAACCGGGGGAACUGAAACAUCUAAGUACCCCGAGGAAAAGAAAUCAACCGAGAUUCCCCCAGUAGCGGCGAGCGAACGGGGAGGAGCCCAGAGCCUGAAUCAGUGUGUGUGUUAGUGGAAGCGUCUGGAAAGGCGCGCGAUACAGGGUGACAGCCCCGUACACAAAAAUGCACAUGCUGUGAGCUCGAUGAGUAGGGCGGGACACGUGGUAUCCUGUCUGAAUAUGGGGGGACCAUCCUCCAAGGCUAAAUACUCCUGACUGACCGAUAGUGAACCAGUACCGUGAGGGAAAGGCGAAAAGAACCCCGGCGAGGGGAGUGAAAAAGAACCUGAAACCGUGUACGUACAAGCAGUGGGAGCCUCUUAAUGGGGUGACUGCGUACCUUUUGUAUAAUGGGUCAGCGACUUAUAUUCUGUAGCAAGGUUAACCGAAUAGGGGAGCCGAAGGGAAACCGAGUCUUAACUGGGCGUUAAGUUGCAGGGUAUAGACCCGAAACCCGGUGAUCUAGCCAUGGGCAGGUUGAAGGUUGGGUAACACUAACUGGAGGACCGAACCGACUAAUGUUGAAAAAUUAGCGGAUGACUUGUGGCUGGGGGUGAAAGGCCAAUCAAACCGGGAGAUAGCUGGUUCUCCCCGAAAGCUAUUUAGGUAGCGCCUCGUGAAUUCAUCUCCGGGGGUAGAGCACUGUUUCGGCAAGGGGGUCAUCCCGACUUACCAACCCGAUGCAAACUGCGAAUACCGGAGAAUGUUAUCACGGGAGACACACGGCGGGUGCUAACGUCCGUCGUGAAGAGGGAAACAACCCAGACCGCCAGCUAAGGUCCCAAAGUCAUGGUUAAGUGGGAAACGAUGUGGGAAGGCCCAGACAGCCAGGAUGUUGGCUUAGAAGCAGCCAUCAUUUAAAGAAAGCGUAAUAGCUCACUGGUCGAGUCGGCCUGCGCGGAAGAUGUAACGGGGCUAAACCAUGCACCGAAGCUGCGGCAGCGACACUAUGUGUUGUUGGGUAGGGGAGCGUUCUGUAAGCCUGUGAAGGUGGCCUGUGAGGGUUGCUGGAGGUAUCAGAAGUGCGAAUGCUGACAUAAGUAACGAUAAAGCGGGUGAAAAGCCCGCUCGCCGGAAGACCAAGGGUUCCUGUCCAACGUUAAUCGGGGCAGGGUGAGUCGACCCCUAAGGCGAGGCCGAAAGGCGUAGUCGAUGGGAAACAGGUUAAUAUUCCUGUACUUGGUGUUACUGCGAAGGGGGGACGGAGAAGGCUAUGUUGGCCGGGCGACGGUUGUCCCGGUUUAAGCGUGUAGGCUGGUUUUCCAGGCAAAUCCGGAAAAUCAAGGCUGAGGCGUGAUGACGAGGCACUACGGUGCUGAAGUGACAAAUGCCCUGCUUCCAGGAAAAGCCUCUAAGCAUCAGGUAACAUCAAAUCGUACCCCAAACCGACACAGGUGGUCAGGUAGAGAAUACCAAGGCGCUUGAGAGAACUCGGGUGAAGGAACUAGGCAAAAUGGUGCCGUAACUUCGGGAGAAGGCACGCUGAUAUGUAGGUGAAGCGACUUGCUCGUGGAGCUGAAAUCAGUCGAAGAUACCAGCUGGCUGCAACUGUUUAUUAAAAACACAGCACUGUGCAAACACGAAAGUGGACGUAUACGGUGUGACGCCUGCCCGGUGCCGGAAGGUUAAUUGAUGGGGUUAGCGGUAACGCGAAGCUCUUGAUCGAAGCCCCGGUAAACGGCGGCCGUAACUAUAACGGUCCUAAGGUAGCGAAAUUCCUUGUCGGGUAAGUUCCGACCUGCACGAAUGGCGUAAUGAUGGCCAGGCUGUCUCCACCCGAGACUCAGUGAAAUUGAACUCGCUGUGAAGAUGCAGUGUACCCGCGGCAAGACGGAAAGACCCCGUGAACCUUUACUAUAGCUUGACACUGAACAUUGAGCCUUGAUGUGUAGGAUAGGUGGGAGGCUUUGAAGUGUGGACGCCAGUCUGCAUGGAGCCGACCUUGAAAUACCACCCUUUAAUGUUUGAUGUUCUAACGUUGGCCCGUAAUCCGGGUUGCGGACAGUGUCUGGUGGGUAGUUUGACUGGGGCGGUCUCCUCCUAAAGAGUAACGGAGGAGCACGAAGGUUGGCUAAUCCUGGUCGGACAUCAGGAGGUUAGUGCAAUGGCAUAAGCCAGCUUGACUGCGAGCGUGACGGCGCGAGCAGGUGCGAAAGCAGGUCAUAGUGAUCCGGUGGUUCUGAAUGGAAGGGCCAUCGCUCAACGGAUAAAAGGUACUCCGGGGAUAACAGGCUGAUACCGCCCAAGAGUUCAUAUCGACGGCGGUGUUUGGCACCUCGAUGUCGGCUCAUCACAUCCUGGGGCUGAAGUAGGUCCCAAGGGUAUGGCUGUUCGCCAUUUAAAGUGGUACGCGAGCUGGGUUUAGAACGUCGUGAGACAGUUCGGUCCCUAUCUGCCGUGGGCGCUGGAGAACUGAGGGGGGCUGCUCCUAGUACGAGAGGACCGGAGUGGACGCAUCACUGGUGUUCGGGUUGUCAUGCCAAUGGCACUGCCCGGUAGCUAAAUGCGGAAGAGAUAAGUGCUGAAAGCAUCUAAGCACGAAACUUGCCCCGAGAUGAGUUCUCCCUGACUCCUUGA